AUUGAACGCUGGCGGCAGGCCUAACACAUGCCAGUCGAGCGGAUGAAGGGAGCUUGCUCCUGGAUUCAGCGGUGGACGGGUGAGUAAUGCCUAGGAAUCUGCCUGGUAGUGGGGGAUAACGUCCGGAAGCGGGCGCUAAUACCGCAUACGUCCUGAGGGAGAAAGUGGGGGAUCUUCGGACCUCACGCUAUCAGAUGAGCCUAGGUCGGAUUAGCUAGUUGGUGGGGUAAAGGCCUACCAAGGCGACGAUCCGUAACUGGUCUGAGAGGAUGAUCAGUCACACUGGAACUGAGACACGGUCCAGACUCCUACGGGAGGCAGCAGUGGGGAAUAUUGGACAAUGGGCGAAAGCCUGAUCCAGCCAUGCCGCGUGUGUGAAGAAGGUCUUCGGAUUGUAAAGCACUUUAAGUUGGGAGGAAGGGCAGUAAGUUAAUACCUUGCUGUUUUGACGUUACCAACAGAAUAAGCACCGGCUAACUUCGUG
rnacentral:rRNA from 1 species